rnacentral:rRNA from 1 species
UGCACCUACGGGAGGCAGCAGUGAGGAAUAUUGGUCAAUGGUCGGGAGACUGAACCAGCCAAGCCGCGUGAGGGAUGGAGGUACAGAGUAUCGUAAACCUCUUUUGUCAGGGAACAAAGGCGGGGACGUGUCCCCGGAUGAGUGUACCUGAAGAAAAAGCAUCGGCUAACUCCGUGCCAGCAGCCGCGGUAAUACGGAGGAUGCGAGCGUUAUCCGGAUUUAUUGGGUUUAAAGGGUGCGCAGGCGGUCUGUUAAGUCAGCGGUCAAAGCCCGGGGCUCAACCCCGGCCCGCCGGUGGAAAUGGG